ensembl:lncRNA
UUGUGUGUGCCUCUUAUUUAUUUGUCUUCAUGGGCAAUUCACUGAAUAAAACAAAUACUGUUACAACACAAAAAAAUGACCAUUCUCCAAAAGCAAUUUUGGCCACAUGUUAUGUACAUGUUACUACAUAAUAAAAAGGCCUCCUCAUAUCACUGUGUCCUCCUUUUUAAUGAUUAAAAAAAAGAAAAGAAAAAGCAUGUCACUGUUCACCAAGCAUUUACAUUGGAAUCAAAUGCUCAGGUCAAACCACCUUUACUUUUUUAUUUGCAAAUGCAAAACUUGUCAACAAUAAAUAAUACUAUAAAAUGUACACAAAAAAGAUUGACAGUCCACCACGAGUUAAAACAGUUUGGAUGAUUAGGAACGAGAAAGUCUGGAAGGGGUGGGGUGAGGGGGUUCUCUUCUUAGCAAAAAUGUGACGGUCCAUACAAGCUACAGAAAAAGCUGAUCAUCUAUACAUUGACACUAGCAAGAUAACAAAGUUGUUGUUUCUGGUAUAUUUCAUUUUGUACAAAGAAGGGAGAGUCUUCUUUACAAGCGAGCAUCAUUGUCUUAACUGGAGAGAUUAUACAAGCAAGAGUUAAGGCAACUUCUCCGUUGUUUCUGAAAAGUAACAUGAAGUUGAAUCAUGUUUUAUUUUGCCUGUGGACCACUUGUUUUUAGCAGUUUUGGAGUUGGUUGUCAUUGCAUAAUUAAGGCUGCUGACCAGGCCUGUAGUCCAUCGCCAAAAAAGGAAUGCUGGAUAUUUGUCACGAGUCGGGUUGCCAUCACAAAGACUGACUCGGUGGUCCAGGUUUUCCCCACGAGAGUCAGGCUUUCGCAUGUUUGGUGUCUGUCUCAGGCACAGAUAGUAUACCGCUUGUGACGCCAACACAGCAUGGUGCAGAUUAGAAACAGACACAAUUGGGCAUGUUGCUGUAGUCUCUGUAUGUAAGUGUCUCUAUGUAAGCAGGAGUGAAAACAGACAUAACAACGGAUUGCAGUAAGUUCCUCAUCAAAUCAAGCCCUCUCAACAUUUUAAAUCAGUAUGAAAGUACUGGUUAAGAUAUCUGGGGUUUUCCAUCCUAGGAAUAAAUUUGUUAAAUUUUCCUGAAGGCGCCACAAGAAAGGUCAGGGAAAGGUCAAUAAAACAAACAGAGUUAUUCUCUGGGGAAGAAAUUAAAUCAAUUUCAAUUUAUAUUCUUCUGAUGUAAACUGUAUUUUUUGGGAAAGUAUUACAGAAAGAAGUAGCUCUACUUAAAGGAAUAAGUCACCCUAAAAUCACAUUUGCACAUCUUCCCUGUGGCCUGCCAUGCUUUCACUCCAUUCCUAUCUUGUGUAUUGGCUGUAAAGAUUUUUGCCUUCUCGUCUCUUCGGUAUAAUGGAACUAAACGUCUCUUAAAUAUUUGUGUGCAACAGGUUAGGGUUAGGAUUUGAAAAACUCGGCAGAGCAGGGCCCACUUAAUUCAGAAACCUUUAAUGUACUAUUUUCCAAAUAAUGUCUGCUCUUGUCAUGGGAAAAUGAAAGGUUUCUUCUGCACAGUCAUGGGUGUAGUUCUGUAGGAAGAGUAAAUGGAUCAUGAUUUUGGAAAUGGGCAUUACUGUUGAGUUUUUCAAAUCUGUUUUAGCACUUUAAACACACAUGCAAAUGUCACUCACAGACUGUGUAUUUAAGAUGGACUAAGCCACCGUGCCGUCACCCACUGACCAUUUGUGCUUGGGCUGUUUGGGCCAUUUGCGCAACGUUGGUUUCCAUGCUGGAGCCAUAAGUGACUAUAUCUGGAUGAAAGGGUGCUAACACUUGUGAGUUUGGUUAGCAAGCACCACACAUACAUGCCUGCUAAUGAGCUUUAAGUAACAGACUAAUAAAAUAUUAUAAUUCAUUCACCAAAAUUAAAGCACAAACCUCUUGAGUGGGCUGAUAGAUGGCAUAUUAAUUGUCUGAAAAUAUAAUUAAAAAUGUUGUAAAAGACACCAACACCUAAACCAAGUGUUGUUCUUAUGAAAGGGGAAACUCCAAAAACUGUUUUUGUGCCAGGCUGUAAAACAUGGUUGUAUGCUCUUUUUAAUGUAUUUUGACAAAGGAAGCUAACUGAACUUCUUUGUUUUUGGAAAAAGCCUCAAGUGGCCAAUCCGGGAACUGCAUUCCUUUAUAUUUCCUGCAGCUCAAUGUGAUUUAAUUCCAUUAUAUCACUAUAUUCAAAACUACACCAAAAAUAACAGCACUAGAUGCGUAUUUUAGUCUGUCUCUUUAAGUGCAAUACAGCAAAAGGCAGACAAGAGCUUCAUAAGACUGGCUCCGCUUGCAGAGAAUUGAAGCAGAGACGAGGAAAAGCUUAAAGUGACACCAAAGCUGGGCCUUGGCAAGAGGCGAGCUAAGCCUAAAUGCCUGACUAAGAGGCGACAGAUAGAGUUGCACACUGCUUAUUCUGAGUCAACACUCUGUAAUCUCAGCUGGGCUCUCUGCUUGCACCUGCCCCACACACACAAACACAAAGUUAAAUUUACUAUGUGCAUUGUGCCACAUGAGUAUGUAUGCUUGUGAAUACGGGCGUAAGGAAAAGCUCGGUCUGGUCUUUACAGUGUAGAAAAUAAUUUUUUACUUUUAUACUAAUAGUUUAAAGAAAAUCAGGGUGCAAGACAAACGAUAAUUGAAGAUCACUUUGUCAUUUUAAGACAGAUUCUAUGUCACGCUUACUGUGACAUAUCACAGGUCUAAACCGAAAAGAGUAUAAUAGUAAUGAUGCUUUUGACAUCCACUUCUCUUCUCUUGGGUCUUCUUUUCUUUUCUUUUUUCAAAAUAAGUGCUUGUUAUUUUGGCAGCUAUAAAUUAUCCAGUCAAAUGUUCAGUUUAAAAUCCCAUUUCCACUAAAAACUAGGUGACAUGUUUUGUUUCAACACACCAGAGGCCUUUGGCAUGUGAUAAUACCUUGUCUCACACUGGUACAGUGCACCUCCUCCAUAGGAGUGUAAACUAAAUGCUGGCUUUGUCUGAUGGCGUCCCAGCUCACAGCCGAUGUGUAACUGGAUCAGAUCAAACUGGAUGGGUGAUAGUUGUGUUGCAUUUACUCAAUCUUCCCGGUAGGAUCUACAAAUGCUGAAAAUACUUUCUUAAAACAAAAAAGAAUUGGCAAAAAAAGAACCAACUUGGCAGAGUUAGUGGACAAAAUAUUGCCAUAAAGAAUUUGUCCUCUGUGUGUUUACUGUUCAAAUGUUUCUGUUGUGUUACUUCAGCAGUUUUCCCUUCAGUCCCACAAGAAUAAUUUAUGAAAGAGCUGGCUUCCUCCUGCAUCCCCCUCAAAAUUCAGUGCAGUCAGUCUCAAACUAACCCAUGACAGAAACAUCACUGGUAAUGUAUUAUAGAAAAGAUUAAGUACUAGCCUGCGGAAGCGAGUACCCACUGCAGGCUGGAAGAUGCUUCCACAUUGCCAUGCCAUCUCAGUUCUUUUGGUGGUGCAAGUAAGCCUUGAAAUGCUCUCUGUUAUUACUCUUACUAGCAAAGAUUACUGUUUAAGCACACGGGCAGCAUUCCAGAGGGUAGAGAAAAUGUCAAUAAUAGGAAUGAUUAUCAGGACAGCUCCAUCUUAUCCUUGUGUAACACUAAAACUGAAUUCAGUGGAGAGCAAACAGACAGAUGCCAACGGAAAAUGGCAGAGAUGCACGAUUCCACCCACACACUUACUUGCUGGUGAAGGUUAUCUCCAGAAUAUUUCUCAACAUAUGUGAAGGUGGUUUUAUGCCCCCAUCCAUAAAAAAAAAAAAAAAAAGAUUUCCCAGAUUUCUUAAUCCCAUUGGAUUCACCCAGAACUUUGUGACAAGGUUGGCAAGGACAUUUUUGCUGGCUGUGAACAAGCACGUGCAUUAACACACAGAUACCAAAUCUGGGCUUGAGAGAUGCAUCUCUGCAGCCACCAUCAUGCUCGGGGGAACUCACUAUGUGUUCUUAGCCAUUCCUGUGUAACGUGAAAACUUUUGUGCUGCUUUGUGCAACUCUCUUUUAAACUGACUUACAGUGUGCAUGAAUUGUCAUUCCAGAAGCAUUCAGAGCAUUCAGAAUGACUUUUUGUGUGUGUGUGCCUUCCCAAAAGAUAAAAGGCAUUCACGAACAGCAGCACUUGAGCCAAAUGACUCGUCUCCAGCUCAUAUUUCAAGGUGACAGUAAACUCUUGAAAAUGAUAUAAUCCCAUCAGUUUUUACAUUUCAGAGUCAGAACAUCACAGAAAAGCAGCUGCAGAUUUGUAAUCUUAAUAUCUGAUACUUUGGAACUAUC